UACGGAGGGUGCAAGCGUUGUCCGGAUUUAUUGGGUUUAAAGGGUGCGUAGGUGGCCCGUUAAGUCCGGGGUGAAAGCCCACAGCUCAACUGUGGAACUGCCCUGGAUACUGGCGGGCUUGAGUCCAGACGAGGUUGGCGGAAUGGAAGCUGUAGCGGUGAAAUGCAUAGAUAGCUUCCAGAACCCCGAUUGCGUAGGCAGCUGACUAGGCUGGUACUGACACUGAGGCACGAAAGCGUGGGGAGCGAACAGG
rnacentral:rRNA from 1 species